rnacentral:ribozyme from 1 species
UUUUUUUUUUUUUUUUUUUUUUUUUUUUUUUUUUUUUUUUUAACAGGUUGUUUCAACGACAUGUUUGAACAAGAAGAAAAUGAGUUGGACUAAACAAAUGGAAAAUUAAG